GACUGAGAGGUUGAACGGCCACAUUGGGACUGAGACACGGCCCAGACUCCUACGGGAGGCAGCAGUGGGGGAUAUUGCGCAAUGGGGGCAACCCUGACGCAGCAACGCCGCGUGAAGGAUGAAGUUUUUCGGAAUGUAAACUUCUUUCAGCAGGACGAAAAAUGACGGUACUUAAUGAAUAAGCUCCGGCUAACUACGUGCCAG
rnacentral:rRNA from 1 species